CCCAGGUGAAAGGGUCCCUUGUGGAAGCCAGGGGAUGUCACAACACUCCUGCCUCUGUGCCCUCCUGCUCGCUGUAGUGCCCAUCCAGGUCACUUUGCAGUUGGCCUUUCAGGGAUCCUCGUGAGUGACAGCAUUGUGUUCCACUGACACCGUCACCUAAGCCUCACCUGCAAGAGGAGAAAUAUGCUCAAGAGAAAGAUGUGGAACCACAUAGCCAGUGUGGAGCACACACUGUGGGGCGUCCAGGACCAAGCAGAGCCACCAACAGAGAUGGACGGAGGCAGACAGGGUGGAGCAGGGCUCCCUCCUCUGGAGGGAAGUCCUCAGCAUGGCUUUCAGUCCUGCAAGCAGCACCUUUCGAGCUGCGGGUGGUUCCAAUGCUUUUAAAGAGAAAAGACGUGCAGACACCCCCAGAUAAGGUACAGUUACAAUGCUUUUAUCAUAUUACUUAAAAAAUAUGUGCAUAAGACAAAAUUUGAAGCCUUCGGCCCUUGAGGCUCUUAUAUAAUAAACUAUAACAAAUUUUAAUUUUUAAUUUUAUGUGUCAACCUAAUUGUGUCAUUGUACCAACAAUUGGUCAAACACCAAUCUAGAUGUCUGUGAAGAUGUUAUGUAGAUAAGAGUAGCAUUUACAUUAGUGACUAUGACUAAAGCAGGUAGCCCUGUGGUGUGGUGGGCCUCUUCCAAUGUUGAAGGCCUUGGGAUGAAAAGCCAUUGAGUUCCUCCCCUCAUUAAGGAAUUCUGCCACAGGUGGCCUUCCCACUUCAGUGGCCACACCAGCCUUCUCUGGGCUCCAGCCUGCCAGCCUGCCCUGCAGAUUUUGGAUUUUCCCAUCUCUAAAAUCAUGUUAGCCAAUUCUGUAAAAUCAAUUCAUUUUUUUCUCUCUCCCCCUAUAUGUAUAUAUGUAUUUUUUUAUGAACAUCUCUAAUGUAAUCUGAUAGAAAUUGUUAGCUCUGUGGAGUGGCUGAUAAUAGGUUUCAUAGAUGGAAAGAUGACUUCUCAGGACUGUUUUGAUAUUUUAUCUGUUUCUGCAUUUUAUUUUAAAAACUCUAAUGCCAAGAAAGGUUGUUUAUAUAAACACAUUGUACAAAACAGUAUAAAUAAUUUUAAGCUUUUUUUGUAAGUCCUGGAAAAUUACUAUUUACACUUAAUUAAAAUCUCACUAAUGAUUCAGUUGAGGAUUCUUUGAAGUCAUAUUGUUCACUGGAGAAGGAGAUCAGCAUUUGGACUUUACUGAAACUCAGACAAGACCUCAUCUAACUCAGAGUCUCAAUGCAGCCGGGAGCCGAGCACUCUCCUGGGGACAGCAUACACACAGGACGCUCCAUGUGACCUAGAACUCUGCUCCUGCUGUCAUGAGCUGUGGUUGCUCAGCUCCUCCGCACUGUGUUAAGCUGCUUCAGACUCUUCAUCUGUACUGUCUGCCACAACGCCUCGACUUCACAAAUGCAAAUCAGGCGCUGAGAAUUCCCCCAUUCUUACUCAUAAGCUUAUCUACCAGAUCAUCCAGAACCUACUUUCAAAAACAAUUAUUAUCAAAAUGAAAAUGCAACAUAUUUUAAAUACUCAUGUUUCUUUGUACGUAAAAAGCUCUUAAAUUUUAGUGAAGAGCUGUGUGCUGUCGCAUUCCUG
rnacentral:lncRNA from 1 species